rnacentral:rRNA from 1 species
CGCGUAGGCGGGGAAUUAAGUGAGAAGUGAAAGGCUGGGGCUCAACCCCAUGCAGUGCUUCUCAUACUGGUUCUCUUGAGGGUGGUAGAGAGAAGUGGAAUGGCUGGUGUAGCGGUGAAAUGCGUAGAUAUCAGUCGGAACACCGGUGGCGAAGGCGGCUUCUUGGGCCAUUUCUGACGCUGAGGCGCGAAAGCUAGGGGAGCGAACGGGAUUAGAUACCCCGGUAGUCCUAGCCGUAAACGAUGGAUACUAGGUGUCGGGGGUAUCGACCCCUCCGGUGCCGCAGCUAACGCACUAAGUAUCCCGCCUGGGGAGUACGGCCGCAAGGUUGAA